rnacentral:misc_RNA from 1 species
GCGUGCUCACGAUGUCGAUUUCAUUGAGCCUUAGGUUUCUUUAGGAAUUAGGAGGAAGAAGAUGAAGAAGACGGUGAGGGGAUUAAAAAAAAGAGGAAAAUUUUCAACUGCCGAUCGCUAGUUAUAGUUGCAUCUCUAGUACGUAAUAAAAAACCCUAACCCUAAACUAGAAACUUUAAACUUUUGGCUUCAAAUAUCCCAAUCUUUCCCCCUUCUUUUUUUGAAUCGAUCUCCAAGGGUACUAAACCUAGAAAUUGAAUAAUGGCUACCACAACACAAACACGAGACAACGAUGGCCUUAAGAAACUGGAAUACUUAUCACUCGUAUCUAAGGUUUGCACGGAGCUCGAAACUCACUUAGGGUUUGGGGACAAAGUAUUGGCGGAGUUCAUCACCGAAUUAGGCCGAAAUUGUGAGACAGUAGAUGAAUUUGAUUCCAAGUUGAAGGAAAACGGUGCCGAGAUGCCCGAUUACUUUGUCCGCACAUUACUAACUAUCAUUCAUGCCAUCCUUCCGCCCAAGCCCAAGUCUGGUAAGGAAUCCAAGAAUAAAGACCCCACUUCUCUCUCUGACGCUAAAAAUUCCAAAUUCAGAGCUCUGGCUAUUGCAGACAGUAAGGAGAGAGCCAAGAACCUUGAACGCGAACUCGAAAUGGAGGCUAGGGAGAGAAGGAAAGAAGAGGAAAAGGAAGAGGACGAUAGGAACAGAGACAGAGACCGGAGGGGUAAGGAUAGAGACAGGCAUAGGGAUAGAUCUGAUAGAGAUGAGAGGCGUAGAGAUAGAGAUUAUGAUGUUGGUCAUGACAGUAGAGAUGGUGAUUAUAGGAGUAGAGGAAAGCAGAGGGGUAGGCAUGACAGGCAUAGGAGAAAUGGGAGUGAAGAAAAUGAUUAUCAUGACAGGGACGGUGGUGAAAGCGAAAGGGAUCGGAGGAACGGACCCAAUAGUUCCAGUGAGCCUGAAUUGUACAAGGUGUAUAAGGGUAGGGUGUCGAGGGUGAUGGACUCAGGUUGUUUUGUGCAAUUGAAUGACUUUAGGAGCAAGGAGGGUUUGGUUCAUGUUUCACAGAUUGCAAGUAGGAGGGUUGGUAAUGCCAAGGAUGUUGUGAAGCGGUACCAGGAGGUUUAUGUUAAGGUGAUUUCAAUUUCCGGACAGAAGUUGAGUCUUUCCAUGAGGGAUGUUGAUCAGAAUACAGGUAAGGAUCUACUUCGUUUGAAGAGGAGCUCAGAUGAUGAUGAUGGUACUUUUAGGACUAAUCCUUCGGCAUCUAAGGAGGGGCCAGUGACCAGGACAGGGCUUUCUGGGAUUAGGAUCAUGGAGGAGGAUGAUGCGGUUCCAUCGCGUCGGCCAUUGAAGAGAAUGAGCUCACCGGAGAGAUGGGAGGCAAAACAGUUGAUUGCUUCUGGAGUUUUAAGUGUCAAAGAGUAUCCCAUGUAUGAUGAAGAGCGAGAUGGGAUGCUUUAUCAAGAAGAGGGCGCUGAGGAGGAUCUUGAAAUUGAGUUGAAUGAAGAUGAGCCUGCAUUUUUGCAAGGCCAGACUAGGUACUCUGUUGAUAUGUCUCCCGUGAAGAUUUUUAAGAAUCCAGAAGGAUCAUUGAGUCGUGCAGCUGCGCUUCAGUCUGCACUUAUAAAGGAGAGGAGGGAAGUAAGGGAAC